UACGUAGGGUGCAAGCGUUGUCCGGAAUUAUUGGGCGUAAAGAGCUCGUAGGCGGUCUGUUGCGUCGGCUGUGAAAACCCGGGGCUCAACUCCGGGCCUGCAGCCGAUACGGGCAGACUAGAGUUCGGCAGGGGAGACUGGAAUUCCUGGUGUAGCGGUGAAAUGCGCAGAUAUCAGGAGGAACACCGGUGGCGAAGGCGGGUCUCUGGGCCUUACCUGACGCUGAGGAGCGAAAGCAUGGGGAGCGAACAGG
rnacentral:rRNA from 1 species